rfam:Oryza brachyantha chromosome 5, whole genome shotgun sequence.
UUUUCGUUUUUUCGUAUCCAACAUUUGACCAUUCAUUUUAUUUAAAAAAUUUGUAUAAAAACUUUUAAAAUAGCCACGCAUAAAAUACUAUUUAUGUUUUAUUAUUUAGUAAGAACAAAAAUAUUAAUCGUAAAUUUUUUUCAAAUAAGACAAAUGGUCAAAUAUUGGACACGGAAAAACAAAAAUGAUCUUAUU